GAGCCGCCGACCCGGAAGCGGCGUGUGUGCACCGCAGGCUCCCGCCGCCAGCUCGCCCGCUCGCCCGCCCGUCGGACAGCCAGGAGAAGGCACCGAGGCCCGGAAUCUGGGUAAUCCUUUCAAGGCUGCCGCAUUGGUAAGUAACAGAGCUGGUAUGGGAGCCUAGCCACUUGGCUCUAGACCCUGUGCUGCUCACUCUCACUUGGAAGAAACAACAGAGGGGACUUUCACUUCAGUAGAAGUGUCCCCGCCCCAUGGAAGUGACAGCACAUAAUGCAUCGUCUCCUUCGGCCUAUGAACACUGAGAAUCUGAAGGCUGUUGAGUCAGAUUAGUAAUUUAAAUAACUAAUUUUGGAGGCGAGGUGAUACUUCUACACUUCCUGUCAUAGGUAACAAUAGCAGCUAAGAUUUCUGGGACAUAGACUGUGUGUAGACAUUACCCAGGUCAGCUCUCACAGCAGCUCUACAAAGCUCAAGCUCAUGGGAAGGAAGGACCUUGCCCGGUCACUCUGUCAUUGAAGGCAGAGUCAGUAUUCACACCUGACUUGCAAGCUAGUGCUGUCAACCAGUGUAAUUUGUGUCGCCACCCUCUGAGGGCGCUUGUGGGAAAACCAUUCUCCUGGAGCUCAAGUGCCCCCUGGCUGGCAGGGUACCUGUGUAUUUUCUGACUUCUCCCCUCCACCCCCCUUAGUUUCCUCAGCAAAUUCCACAUGGCUGGCCAGCUUUGUGUUGUAUGGAGCCCUCAGCACAGUGGCCCAUGGCAGUCUCUACUCAGGCAUCCUUUAAUGUUUUUUUCAUGGAGCUAUGCGAGCCACUAUACAGAAAUCUUACUCUUUACAGCCGAAUACAUGUUUAAGGUAAUAUCUACGUUAGCUGCCCCACAUCAGGAGACAGUAUUUCUAUCAUGCUAGGAAACUCCCUAGAAUUGCCUGAUUGAUCAGCACCGUGCUGAUCUUUAUCAUGUCCGUGUUUUUAACUUAGACAGAUGCAAGUAUAUUUUUCAAUAAAACAAACUGAAGGCAAAAACACCUUAAGUAGCAUAGGUGGCCAUGCUGGCUGGCCUCUGAGUGUAGUGGGAUGGAUAGGAGGCCUGAGUCUGCUAUUCUUUCUCUUAGUCUUGCUUCUCGGUGCCUUUUAAGAUUUGAGCAUCUUAGGCCAUCAAGUGUCUCCUGUAUUUAAAGAUUGUAAUUACCACACAGCAUGCCCCCUAAAUUCAAACCACCUCUUCCAUAUGGUGCUUCGCUUAAGACAUUCAGUCCAGUGCUAAAAGAAAGACAUAUGUUGUAUGUCAUAAAAGAUAGUCAGCUAGUCUUCAAGUGUGAGGCCAUAUGGGAUUUUCGAACCACUUCGAAGUUUUCAGCUUGUCUAUUACACUCUGAUGUUAGCUGCUAAACCUAAAUCUUACAUUUAUUGUUCAGUGGGGAGGGGACAUUAUCAUGUGAACAACUUUUGGAGCCUGUUCUCUCCAUUCUCUUCAAUGUGGGUUCUAGGGAUUGAACUCAAGUAACAAGGCUGGUGUGGAAAGUGCUAACACUUACUAAGCUCUAUGAACAGCCUGUAAACCAGAAUUUCAGUGCCAAUCGGACUGACACAUGAAUGAGUGGGUUUAGUGACCUGGAAGUUUGUGCUGAGAUGAUCCACCAGGCUGAUUUAUUUGCACAAAUACUUCCCAGUACAAAUGUAGAGUUGAUGGAAAUAAAAGCAUUGGGUCUUGGGGAGUCUAUUAACAAAACAUUCUAAAAUCAACCGGAAAUUCAGAGGAACAUGUAUGCCAGUGGUUAUGUGUGAGCAAAAGCUGUGACACAUAUAGUCAAAGAUACCAGUGACUGGGGUUUUAGUUCUACAGUGAGUCUAGAAGUAAGGCCUGAUAGAAGGUGGAAUUGAGCAUCCUGGAGCCUUAAAGGAAAUGUUUAUUUCUUUAUGAAAAUGGGGCUAGAAAACUUCACUACCUGGAAGUUUACCAUGAGUUGAAAGAAUGUUACCUACAAAUAAAAACUAAAGCAAGGGGGAAACAGUAAAAUGAGCAAACCAGUCAAAAUGAAAUGAAAUGAAGAGAGUCAUUCUAUUUAAAAUCUAACAGAAGGGUUUAAGGAAUGACUAGCUAUAGGGAGGAAGUGAACUAUCAUACAAUAUUAACCACUACUAAGUGUGCCAGACACCGUUCUGAGUUCUUGGCUCAACUCACUCAAUCCUCAGAACAAAUUGUGAGGGGGCAUUAUCAUGGCCAUCUGUAUUUUUAUUUGUUUAUUUUACAUUUCUAAUUAAAAUAUAAUGACAUCAUUUCCUCCUUUCAUCCCUUCUAAUACCCUCUCCAGUCCCAACUUAAUAGCCUCUUUUUGUUUAUUAUUGUUACAAACAUAUAGACAAAUACAUAGAACCCGCUGGGUCUGUUUUUAUUCAUCCUAUGUAUAUGGUCAGGGCUGACCACUUGUAUUGGAUAACCAGUCAGGGGCUCAAACCUGGGAGGGCUAAUUCUCCCUCUCAGCAGACAUUAGAGCCCUGUAGUUCUCUGUCUAGGGGUUGGGUCGUCACGAGGUUUUCCCCCUUCCAUGUUAACAUGUCUUUUGGUAUUGUUGUUGUUCGGGUCUUAUUCAGCAGUCCUUUCUAAGAGUCACACAGCAGACUUUCUGGUACUCCGACUUUCAAGCAUGACACCUCCUUGCCUCUCCUCUGCAGUGUCACCUGAGCCAAUGACGUAGAUGUGUCCAUUGGAGCUGGGCUUCCCACAGCCCAUUGGCCUUUCCAUUGUGUCCAGUUGUCACCUCUAUUUUAUAGAUGACAAGGAGUGUAGUGAAAUCCUGUUAUUCAUGGUUGUACACUUGCACCGGUAAGGAUGGAGCUGGGAUUUGGCCCCAGCAAGAAUUAAGAAUAAUCACCAAGUGGGAAAGGGAUCUAGAUACGGAAGAAUAGUGAAGAGACAUAGAGGGCAGUACUUUUCACCACAUAGUGGGACUUAAGGAAAAACCACUCUAGGAAACAUAAGAAUUAAAUGUCUUUUGAGAUUUCCUGUAAUCUUUGAGAUCUAAGAAUUUGGGAGCAGGUGAGCAUCAUGGGUAAAACAUGCAGGGAAGGGUGGCAGAGAGAGCCUCGGUUUGCACCAUAGUAUAUAUUGAUGUGUUCACCAAUGUUUACAGCAGUCUCCCUAAGAAAAGGGGAAAAGACUGAUUUGUAGCAUUUGAUGAUUUCUUUUUUAAAGAUUUGUCUUUACUUUUAAAUUUUACUUUUUAUGUGUAUGGAUGUUUUGCCUGUAUGUCUGUCUGCAUACCAUGUAACACCCACAGAGGCCAGAGAGUGUGUCAAAUCCUCUGGAAUUUACAGACAGUUGUUAGCCAACCAUGUGGGUGCUGGCAAGUCAAACCCGGAUCCUCUGAAGGAAUAGCCAGAAAGCCACUGACUAGUCCUGUAUUUGCUGCUUUCUAUAGUGUAAAUAUUCCCACGGUGACCAGUUCCAGGCUAGCAAUGUAAUGUCUCUACACUUGGAGUUGAGAAGCUGUGGCCAUGGUUGGGUCUCUUGAAACAGCGUGAGCUGGCUUCAGCAUGUCAUUGGCUCACAUGUCCAUGCUAUUUUAAGUUCUGAUUCUGAGUUGUGCACCUAGGAGUGGAAUUUCCAGGAAGUAGUAAUGUCACGGGUGAUUCAUAGGGGCAAGAAGAGACAAUGGGACGGGAGCAGAGCUCUGCCCUUCUUUCUUCCCCUGCACUUAAAAACAUAACAGGAAAACAGCCUUUUGUGAAUGUGGGCAGAGGUAUGGCAUAGUCCUCACAGUGUGACACCAUAUGCAUUUAGCUAAACACUAGGUUGAAGUCCUCAUCCUCCCAGGGUUUACGGCCUCCCUAGCCAUGGGUUUUUGAUGGGAUUGGCAGUAUCAGCUAUGAGCUCCAUCUUGUGCAGUGGGUCUCAAAUCUAGUCAUGGAACAGUUGGGUGCCCCAUGACACUUGUGCCACCAUUGCAUAUCUUGCCUGACAGGUUAAUGUAAUUGGUAGGGUUCACAGCAGAACAGGGCCAAUGGUUCCCUUUCUUUUCCAGUGGCCUGUACAGCACCCUCCAUCAUCAUAAAGCUAGAGAGUAGGAAGGGAGCUUGCUCUUAGUUCCAGCUUGAUUUCUCUGUCUUGCAACCAAGGGGUGGGGUGUGUGUGUGUGUGUGUGUGUGUGUGUGUGUGUGUGUGUGUGUGUGUGUGGUGUCUUCGGGAAUAAGGUCUUAGAUCUAGUUCCAGUAAGCAUGCAAGAGUCUAUAUUCUUUGGGGCUUUGCUAACCAACAACUUAUAAGGUAGUCAGGAUUUAAUUUUGAGUUGUAAGAAAAGCAAUAUUCAGAAAAGUAGGCAUUCAUAUCUAUGGAAAAGAGAGGAGCACGAAUAUAUUUCCAUAGCUGUCGCCAUACACAACAUGGAUACUUUCUUGGCUCUGCUUAGAGUACAACUGGAAAUCUGCUGUAGGUAGGUGACACCUGACGCCAUGUCCUUUUAUAUGCAUUUGAAGUUUUUUAAAUUACUGUUAUUUAUAGACAGUUUUAUACCUCAGGCUAAUUUAUAACUUGUUGUGUAUCCGAGAACAAUCCAGAACCAGUGAUCCUCCUGCAUCAGACAAGUCAUGAUACCACCAUGUCUGGUCACAUAUUGCUGUUUGAUGAAGAAUCAAUUGUACCUAAAAGUGUACUUGGGACUAAGCAUGGAGGUACAUGCUGAUAAUCCAAACCCUUGGAGAGGUAGGCAGAUUGAAAGUGAAAGAACAGGCUGGGCUCCACAGAGGACAAGACAGAACUGCUUAGGGAGCCUUGCACACGAGAGCCCUUCCCAAUUUUAGAGGGAGUCAGCAAGUCUCCAGUGGGAAUCCAGCACUAAGUGCUAGGCACUUUUCUGUGCCAUCAGUCUAGCCAGUACAUAUGCCACUGUAGUUCUCCUCAGUGUCUGACUCUGCCUGGAUUUCCAAGGGAUCUGUAAGUAGGUGAUAAGUAUCUGUGAAUCCCAUUUUCAAAAUGACUGUGUGUGUGUGUGUGUGUGUGUGUGUGUGUGUAAGAGAGAGAGAGAGAGAGAGAGAGAGAGAGAGAGAGAGAGAGAGAGAGAGAGAGAAAGAGAGAGAUAGACUGACUUGUGUCAAGUCCUGGCAUGCAGUAGAUGAAUUUUGGUGGCAUUAUUUAGUGGGGUUUUAUGAACAGGCACUGCUUAGCCAUCCAAGGGGUUCAGAAGGUAUCUCGUUUCCAUGCCACCUGCCGCUAAUCCCUGGCGCCCUCCACCCCCUGGGUUACUCGGAGGUAUUUUGUCAUUAAUUGUCUCAACUUGUAGUCUAUUUGCUCUGGAAAGUCAAAACUCUUGUUUCUGGAACAAAUGAAUCCCCAAUGUAUUUAGCAAGCAAGAGGGGUGAGAAUUUGUCCCACUGUGUCAUCCUUUUUUAGACUUAUUUGAUCCACCCACCGCCUGUCCAGGAUGUAUCAUCAAAGGCCCCAAAGACACUGACUUCUGCUCACUGACAAAGAACAUUCAUGACCUUUCUUAGCAAAAUAAAUGUUCCCAGAGGGGCUUUCAUUGCUGUCGCUGUUGCUGCGGUUGGCCACAUGUCGAACUCAUGAGCUGUUUUAUAGAACCGGAGGUUUCUCUUCUUGGUGCUCCCUGGUUACGGUUUGGAAAGAAGUUCCCCAAGUGGGUUAUACAUCUUUAUGACGCUGUCUGUGAUCUGGUGAACAGUAACCCAAAUAGGUGAGGAGACAGGGAUGGCGGCCGGCUUAUAGAGUCGGGAGAUGGGGGUGGCAACGUCAGCUGACGGUGGAGAUGCAGCUAAGAGUGUCACAUCCCCUGCCUGCAGGUUCCCAGUGGUGGUUCACUUGGCUAUGUGGUUUCCAGUUCUUGGUUCCAUUAAGCUCUUGGUGGAUCAUUGCCUACGCGGCAGGCUGGGAGGCAGGGUAUUAGUUUACUGGAAGAUGGGUGUGAAUCAGCAGUGAUAUCUGACUCCCUCAGACAGUCAUGCUGUCCUCAUUGCCUCAGUGGAGACGGGGAGUGGGCUUAAGUAGCGUUGCCCUGGGAGAUCCUUCCCUGACGCCCCCUCCAGGCUCCAGUUGCCCUGUGGAGAAUAACUUGACUGUAUUCUUACUGGCUUUGCCCAGCUGUAGGAAAGAAAGGGUGGCCACCUCCUUGUUAGACUGUGAGCCAAGAAAGGUGCUUGGGGUCCACCUGCUUCCUGUGCUCACGGGAACUCAGACCUCCCUUCUUGAGAUUCUUUCCAUCUCCAGACAACUCCAGCUUGAGCUGGCUUCUGGGGAAAGGAGGCUUGAUUGUCUCUCUACUUGAAAAGUUUAAAGACAGAAUUUGAGGCAUAAAAAAUCUGCAGCCUAAAGUCUUGCCAAGUCUGGACAUAGUUUUUCAUCUCUGGACGAAACUCAUUUCCUUUCCAGAUCACUUAGUGCUUAGCGGUUCAAACAGGUUUAGAAAGGUCACCUUCCUUAUAAUCCAGCUGGAAGUCACAGAAUUGAGUUUACUGUCCCUCUGGCUAACAUGCACGUGCCCCAAACAGUCCCUGUUGCUAAGUGUACUCUGUAAUCUGAUUCGCCAUUCUAGGACAAACACUCGGCCACUGGAGAAGGUAGGCUGGUCUCUGAAUGUCUCCUGGGGCACGGGGACAGAGAAUAAGUCCAGGGGCUCAUUCCCCGAGGCAGUCUGUGGACUGUUUUUUGAAUGAUGGGUAGGCAGGAGCAAAGGAAGUCCAAGGAGACAGGUUUUAAUUAGUGUUUACUGGAUGAGUGAAUGGACAGAGGAAUGAGCAGAGGAGAGCUGGAGUGAGGGCUGGUUGUUCGGUCCGUGCUGUGGGCUUAACAGAUGGAGCUUUGUAAAGAAGAGGGAGACUGCUUUGAAAUCUAGCCAUUAAAUUAACUGAAAUAUUUACCAGGAGACGUGAGGAAGACAGACAUGCGAUAGCUGUUUCUGGGUGUAUAUAGGGCAUUGACAGGGCAGGAGUGACAGUUGGGUCCCUACUCUGUGUCCUGAGUGCUGGAGAGACACUUUGUUCUCACCUCACUUUAAUUUUUAUUAGAAAAAUCAUGUUUUUUUUUGCUGGUCAGUUGGGUGGCUUAGUGGUUAAAGGAACUUGGUGCCAAGCCUGAUUGACCUGAGUUCAGUCCCUGGGACACACAUGUAGAAGGAGAAAACCAAGUUCUGCAAGUUGUUCUCUGACCUCCACAUGUAUGUGCGCACGUGCACGCACACGUGUGCACGCACACACAUGCACACGUAUGCACAGAUGCGUGCACUGAAAGUCUUUUUAGCUUUCUAUCUAGGACUAAUUGUAAUUAAUAUCUUGAUAUGCCUUUAUGCCUUUCAGUCUUUUUCCCAAGUUACAUGGCCUUUGGAAAUUUAGGUGUUUAUAUGCUUGUUUAUUUUGAGAUUGGCUGUGUGGCCUUUGCACUCUCUGAAGUCCUCCUGCCUUAUCCCCUUGAGUGCUGGGAUUCCAGGUGUACACCACUGUACCCAGGUCUUAUUUCAUCCUGAUAAUUUGUUUUUGUCAGAGAAAGAGGCUAUGUCUAGAGGUGUGGGUACCCUGGGGGUCAGGGUUCUUCUGUCUUCUGCCAGGCUUACAAACUCCCUUUGAUUUCUAGGUCUUUGGCUUGGCUGCUGUCUGCCUGGCAGGCUGCACCAUAUCUGUCAGGGUUUCUUCAGGAUCUAAUCCUAGAAUCUUGAUCUCCUUGCCUUCUGUAUUGUCCACUCAUUUAGCUACUUGGUCAAAUACUCAGGAAAGAUUUCCUUGGUGCUUUGGCGGGGGGUGGGAGGGAGUGAAUGAGGGAAACCCUCAUUUCCCUGGAGUUUCAGUUUACCUGAGUUCCACAUCCUUUCUGGUUGUUAGUCAACCCUCUAGCAAUGUGGGGCUGUGAUGGUGACAGCCACACUAACCAGCCCAGGACUCCUGGUCAGACAGUACAUCUGGAAAGCUGGGAGAUCUUGUUUAAUGUAUGCACAUAAUCUUGUGGGUUGCUGCUCCUAACAGGAAUGGGUGUGUAUGGUGGAAUGGGGAGCUUGAAGCACACUUUCCCUCUUCCCAGUUUCCUGGAGCUGUGAAGCCCACCAUUGUACACAUAUGAUGACCCUGGUUUCUGAGUCUCAGAGCAGAGACAUGGUCAGGAACAAGGUCAGCUGCAGAAAGGGAGGGUAAUACACUCUGUGGGUCUGGCCUCUCCUGUUCCAUGACAUGGCUCCUUCAACCCCAGGGAGACCAGAAUAGUUACCCCACUGUGCAGAAUAGGGAGCUGGGGCCUUGGCUGGACUUACAGCUUGGUCCCGGGUCUCUAUGGUUCUCUACACCUGGGACUUCUUUUAAAAGAUCCCAGGCCAGGGCCUGAGGCCUUAAAUGCUUCUGAAACUCCAGGUGGUUUGAUUCUUUCUCCCAUUCAUUUACUGGAAAAAAAAUUACUUGUUUGAAGGCCUCUGUACAGAAAAGCUGUUAAGCCCAAGUUCCAGGGUGACCAAGACCUGUUGGUGUCCUCCUCUGAGAGAACCUGAAUUUCAGUUAAAUCAACAGAAGUACGCUUACAUGUCUGCCCAUCCUUUUAGUGAGUCAUUCAGGAUGGAUCAUCAGGUGUGGUGUGCUGAGCUGCAACUGACUGAAGUCCCAGUUCAAACAGGGUAAUCACCAUGAAGUGAUUGACAGGAGCGGGAAAUGGCAUGGGCUCCAGGCACGUUUUGAUCAGGCUUGCUUCCUUGGCGAUGCUUAGGGCUCUGCACAUCUGACUCCUAGCUUCAUUCUCAGCCUCCUGUCCUUUACAGCAGCUCGGGUUGAAAGAGGUACCAUUGCUCUGCAGAGUUCUUGAGCAGGAUUUCCACUCUUCUCUCAGGCUGGGUCCUCUCAGGACUUGUGUCCGCUUCUCAGACUAAUCAGAGGGGACAGCAUUGUCUUAGAUGGUUCAGCACCCACCUUUGGAAUUGAAGACAAGACUGUGUGGAAGAGAUGUGACCAAGAGGCAGUGACAGUCUCCAAGCGGUUUCCGUGCAAGAAUGGAAACAGAAACUGUGCCAGGGAGGUCCCCUGUUUCUCAGGGCAGAUUCUGCUAACAAGUGCACAUUGGUGCUUUGUUUUGUUUGUUUUGAAAGCUCAGUGUUUUGCACUUUCACAGUGACUCGAAGCACACCUCUUUCCAUUGGUCAGUUAUUUCCACCUCACAGAUGAGGAAACCAGCGUAGGGAAUCUUAGGGUACAGCUGGCCUUCAGGCACUAGGAAGCCAGCAGGAUGUGUCUGGACUGUGGAUUCCACUCUAUUUCCCUUUUGGGAUAGUUUGCAGAGAAAAUAGAAUCUUAAUAGAGGCCCUAAAAAGGGGUUUCUAAUGACUCUUCACAAUAAGCAGGGCCUUGGGUGCAGUUAAGGCUUUGCAUCUCCAGCUUUUAUUAGGAGAAUCCUGCC
rnacentral:lncRNA from 1 species